UCUGAGGAGAGGGAUUUAGGAGUAAUUAUUUCAGAUGACUUAAGCCAUCUGAAAUAAUUACUCCUAAAUCCCUCUCCUCAGAUGUUGAGG